UUAAAAGUAUGGUUUGAGGCAACUCUCCUAAACACAUUCACCAAACAACAUAGAAGGUAAAAGUAAGUUAUUAAAAUUUAUCCAAGAAGUUGAAGAGCUGAAAUCCAUAGAGGAGACUGAAAAGGUGAUUAAAGAUGUACCAUUAAAAAAACAGCUGGACCAAUGGUGCAAAAUAACUUCUAACAAAAAUAUAAUAAUAAUAUCUUUUAAAUUAACCAGGUCAUUCAAUGAAUGGAAACAUCCCACUUUAACUUUAUUAUAAUAACCUGAUCUAGAUAAAAGCAGAACGAGCAAAAAAGGCUAUGGAGUAAAUUUUGCUAUUGACUAGAUAUUGUUUAAUUUAAACAGUCUAAAUUAAACUUUAGUAAAUUUAGGAGAAAAAUAAUCAGCUCACAGUGAUGACAAAAAGUAUUGUUUUUCAUUUCAUCUAGGAUGCCACUGAUGAUAAAACACAUCCUGAUUUUGGAGAUAUUAAAGUGUCUCUUUUCUCGAGUUCACAGCAUCUCAGCAUCGAACACACACAGUCAAUUUAGCACGGAGCUAAAGAGCAUGCAGGACCUAGGAAAGGAAAGCUGGUUGGACUCCUUCUUGCCCAUAAUUCUGUAUGCACAACCUCACUAGAGGAAGUUGGAGAUAAAGACUUAGGAUUUUCACUGUCCCUGGAAAUAAAGAGAUGAGAUUUCAUAAUUUUCCUCCAACUGUCGAUUGACUGUAUGGUGCUGAUAAUCUCAGUUUAAUGGUGAUUAUCAAGAACGUCAGGAACUCAGAUGCCUAUUCAUUUGCUCAACUAUUUAAAAUAAAAAUCUUGAGGCUCUGCUUUAAAAUUCUCAAUGGAUUGUAUCUCCUGGGCUUACCAAUUCUCUGGCUUAUUAUUGGUUCUAGUCAAAGAAUAAAAAGAAAAAAGAAAGAAAAGAAAAGGCACCAGCAGGAGAUGAGAGGAAAAGAAGAAAUCGACAUCAGAGCAUUUAUUCCCUUAAUCUCCUCCAUUCAGGCCCACUGCUUGGCUCUGGAUGCACUUUUGCUAUGGUCUAAUUUAUGUCAGGAAGUUUUGUUUCCAUAGCUACAUGUCCUACCAGGACUGACAAUAUCAUGGGACUUUUAGCUUGAAGGUAGUGGACUGAUCAUUCAUACCAAAAUUUCUGGCUCCUAUUCAAAACUGACAUUAUAGAUUAUCAGUUUAAAACUGACAUUGUAAAAAGUUUAUAAAACAGAUGUUAAUACAUAGCUGUAUUAAGAGGGUAAAGAGGAUAAAAGAUCCUCACAUUCAAGGCGAAGCAGUGAACAAAGCCUCCCACAAGUGCUAGACGUAAACUAAUGGCAUCACCAACAAGUAUCUGCACUAAAAGGCCAUGGUGUCAGCAGGUGGCCAUAAUCAAAGACACAUGGUGAACACACGACUAAGAAUAAGCCACCAACUGAGAAAUGCCAGAAAGGGAAGCAACAAAUGCAAG
rnacentral:lncRNA from 1 species